GUUCCAUUUUGAUUGAGCAGAACUGGUCUUGCUCAACGUCUUGCCUCUUGCAAAUGACUUCUCUGUGCUCCACUUCCCUGGCAUCUCUCUGGAUCUGCAGAUCUUUCUCUGAGACCUUUUUGGGUAACCCCUACUAAGCAAAGUACCACAGGGAAGAGCUUGGAACUCUGAUUGCAUGUCUGAUGUGCCAAACAGGAGCUCAGCACUGAUAAUUGAAUUCCUGAACCCUACAAAUGGC